rnacentral:misc_RNA from 1 species
GCAUUUGCAGCGAAAACGUAUCUGCAGAUUCAAUUUGUAUUAAAAUUUAGUUUAAAAGAAACUGAAGAGUAGUAAUGCUUAGUUCGGUUGCUAAGAAAAUGAAGGAAUGGAAAGGAAAAUUUGAUUUUAAAAAAAUAUAUAUAUUAUGGAUUAUUAAUGUCUGACACCACAGUUUACAGCUUUAAGGUGAUUUAAAAUUGAAAAUGACAAUAGCGGGAACAAAAAGAAUUUGAAUUAAAGGAAAAUUUUUAAAAUUUUGAAAACCCAAAGGUCCAGAAACGUGAGGAAACAUUUUCUGAGCAACCAAACAGGGACGAGGAAGGAAUUUUACAAAGGAAAAAGAAUAGAAGGCAUAGAUUUUGAUACCUGAAAGCGUCGAAAUCAUACCAA